ACUCCUACGGGAGGCAGCAGUAGGGAAUCUUCGGCAAUGGGCGAAAGCCUGACCGAGCAACGCCGCGUGAGCGAUGAAGGCCUUCGGGUCGUAAAGCUCUGUUGUUAGGGAAGAACAAGUAUGAGUUGAAUAAGCUCAUGCCUUGACGGUACCUAACGAGAAAGCCACGGCUAACUACGUGCCAGCAGCCGCGGUAAU
rnacentral:rRNA from 1 species